rnacentral:rRNA from 1 species
CCUACGGGCGGCAGCAGUGGGGAAUAUUGGACAAUGGGCGAAAGCCUGAUCCAGCCAUGCCGCGUGUGUGAAGAAGGCCUUCGGGUUGUAAAGCACUUUCAGUGGGGAAGAAAGCCUUGGGGCUAAUACCCUCGAGGAAGGACAUCACCCACAGAAGAAGCACCGGCUAACUCCGUGCCAGCAGCCGCGGUAAUACGGAGGGUGCGAGCGUUAAUCGGAAUUACUGGGCGUAAAGCGCGCGUAGGCGGUCUGAUAAGCCGGUUGUGAAAGCCCCGGGCUCAACCUGGGAACGGCAUCCGGAACUGUCAGGCUAGAGUGCAGGAGAGGAAGGUAGAAUUCCCGGUGUAGCGGUGAAAUGCGUAGAGAUCGGGAGGAAUACCAGUGGCGAAGGCGGCCUUCUGGACUGACACUGACGCUGAGGUGCGAAAGCGUGGGUAGCAAACAGGAUUAGAUACCCCUAGUAGUC